CCCCUUUUAUACACAUGUUUAAUUUCAGGUUUGGCCUUAUCAACAAACUCUCUCGGUUGCAUGUAAGUGGAAACCAACUCGGCGGAAACAUUCCUAAUUGGCUCCACAUUUCGAACAAGCUUUUCGGGCGCUUCCAAAUUUGUCUAGAAUGUCAGGGAUAAAUAUGUUCCUUGCACAAAGUAAUUAACAAUCAUUACUAGAAUUAAGGAGAAUUGUUGUUUUGAACAAGAAACAGAAAGCUAAAAAACAAAGGAAGCUACAGAACUAGGAAGGGUCAUCACCAACCAACAUUGUCACAGAACUCUACGGUUUACAAUGC
rnacentral:lncRNA from 1 species